rnacentral:rRNA from 1 species
GGAAGGAUCAUUAAACGAUAUUGCGGCUCGCCGUCUCGGUGAACUCUUCAUAUCGACACACACACUGCGUACCCACCUGUUGCCUCCGCCGGGAGACACUCCCGGCGAGCGGGGAGCUCGAUAACACCCUUUGCAUUGCAUUGCAGUCAGUCUGAACUCAUUGAGAGAAACUGUCACAAAACUUUCAGCAACGGAUCUCUUGGUUCUCGCAUCGAUGAAGAACGCAGCGAAAUGCGAUAAGUAGUGUGAAUUGCAGAAUUCAGUGAAUCAUCGAAUCUUUGAACGCACAUUGCGCCUCCCGGCAUUCCGGGAGGCAUGCCUGUCCGAGCACCAACACGAAAUUCAGUCAGGCCGUCAAGUGGCCUGGUGGUGGUGGGGGAUGGGUGGUCGUGAUAUCAUCGAGCCUGCUUCCCCUCUGCGGGGGGUUGCGGGAUCGGACUUGGAUGUGCUGCCGGCCGGAGACGGUCGGCUCAUCCGAAACGCAUUAGCCUCCUGUCCCUUGGCUCCGGGGUGUUCUCACUCGGCGUGAUAAGAUCACCCGUCGGGGGACCCCCUCUGCCUCAUCCUGGGACUGGCUUCCAACCGUCCGCGAGGACAACGACUUGACCAUCUGACCUCAAAUCGGGUAGGACUACCCGCUGAACUUAAGCAUAUCAAUAAGCGGAGGAAAAGAAACUAACAAGGAUUCCCCUAGUAAC